UACGGAGGGUGCAAGCGUUAAUCGGAAUUACUGGGCGUAAAGCGCACGUAGGUGGUUUGUUAAGCCAGCUGUGAAAUCCCCGGGCUCAACCUGGGCACUGCAGUUGGAACUGGCAAGCUAGAGUAGGGUAGGGGGGUGUGGAAUUCCAGGUGUAGCGGUGAAAUGCGUAGAUAUCUGGAGGAACAUCAGUGGCGAAGGCGACACCCUGGACUCAUACUGACACUGAGGUGCGAAAGCGUGGGGAGCAAACAGG
rnacentral:rRNA from 1 species